UCUUUAUCUGGUAGUUUUAAACCUUUGCAGUUCUUUGAUGCCAAUGUGCAACUUCAUGCUGAUAUCAACCCAAGCAUAUACACGCAUACAGUGGCAAUGAUGGGAAUCAAUACACAGUACUUUAAGAGUGGUCUUGAAUUUCAUGCCAAGUUCCGUGCCAACAUCCCAAUGAAAUUUUAUGCCAAAAUAAACAUGAAAGAUAAAAGUUUGAAACAACUCCGUGCCACCAGGAAACUGAGCUAGUGACUGCAAGGGUCUUUAUUCUGCAAGAUCUGAAACUUAUCAAGAGUUUAUCUUGAGGCAUCUGAAGAAGUGGGUUUUUUACCCAUGAAAGCUUAU